UGGGGAUUAUUGCACAAUGGGCGCAAGCCCGAUGCAGCCAUGCCGCGUGUAUGAAGAAGGCUUUCGGGUUGUAAAGUACUUUCAGCGGGGAGGAAGGGAGUAUAGUUAAUACCUUUGCUCAUUGACGUUACCCGCAGAAGAAGCACCGGCUAACUCCGUGCCAGCAGCCGCGGUAAUACGGAGGGAGCAAGCGUUAACCGGAAUUACUGGGCGUAAAGCGCACGCAGGCGGUUUGUUGAGUCAGAUGUGAAAUCCCCGGGCUCAACCAGGGAACUGCAUCUGAUACUGGCAAGCUUGAGUGUCGUAGAGGGGGGUAGAAUUCCAGGUGUAGCAGUGAAAUGCGUAGAGAUCUGGAGGAAUACCGGUGGCGACGGCGGCCCCCUGGACGAAGACUGACGCUCAGGUGCGAAAGCGUGGGGAGCAAACAGG
rnacentral:rRNA from 1 species